rnacentral:rRNA from 1 species
AUGCACGCUGGCGGCGUGCCUAAUACAUGCCAGUCGAGCGAACAGACGAGGAGCUUGCUCCUCUGACGUUAGCGGCGGACGGGUGAGUAACACGUGGAUAACCUACCUAUAAGACUGGGAUAACUUCGGGAAACCGGAGCUAAUACCGGAUAAUAUAUUGAGCCGCAUGGUUCAAUAGUGAAAGACGGUUUUGCUGUCACUUAUAGAUGGAUCCGCGCCGCAUUAGCUAGUUGGUAAGGUAACGGCUUACCAAGGCGACGACGCGUAGCCGACCUGAGAGGGUGAUCGGCCACACUGGAACUGAGACACGGUCCAGACUCCUACGGGAGGCAGCAGUAGGGAAUCUUCCGCAAUGGGCGAAAGCCUGACGGAGCAACGCCGCGUGAGUGAUGAAGGUCUUCGGAUCGUAAAACUCUGUUAUUAGGGAAGAACAAAUGUGUAAGUAACUAUGCACGUCUUGACGGUACCUAAUCAGAAAGCCACGGCUAACUACGUG